AUGUUGCCUGUACUACUUACCCAGUGUUAACGUGGAAGCCAUUUUGUAUUUCGAAAAGAAUGUUUUCAGCUCGUUUCUUACGCACUAUUAGAAACGUACUUCUCUCUGCUUCUAGAACUUCUCGAUCAACAAACAGUGAUGGAUUGGGCGAGGUGGCCCAGUAGCAUGGCCACCGAGGUCAUCGGACCUGACUCCAUUGGACUUUUAUCUGUGGGGUCACUCAAAGUCCGUCGUUUAUGCAACACCCAUAAACAAUGACGACCUAUGGGAACAUGUACAGAUGAUUCGAGGAAACCCUGGGACUCGAGCGGUAAUCAACAUACUUUGCGCCUGGAAUUCGUUGAGUGCUACACGCUCCAACUGAAUUCGCAAGAAAUCCAAUGGAUGCUCCAGCUGUAACAUCAGGUGACUCGAUUUCUCAUAGUGCAGACGCGAC